rnacentral:rRNA from 1 species
AGUGAACGCUGGCGGUAGGCCUAACACAUGCAAGUCGAACGGCAGCACAGUAAGAGCUUGCUCUUACGGGUGGCGAGUGGCGGACGGGUGAGGCAUACAUCGGAAUCUACUUUUUCGUGGGGGAUAACGUAGGGAAACUUACGCUAAUACCGAAUACGACCUACGGGUGAAAGCAGGGGAUCUUCAGACCUUUCGCGUUAGAUAGAGCCGAUGUCGGAUUAGCUAGUUGGCGGGGUAAAGGCCCACCAAGGCGACGAUCCGUAGCUGGUCUGAGAGGAUGAUCAGCCACACUGGAACUGAGACACGGUCCAGACUCCUACGGGAGGCAGCAGUGGGGAAUAUUGGACAAUGGGCGCAAGCCUGAUCCAGCCAUACCGCGUGGGUGAAGAAGGCCUUCGGGUUGUAAAGCCCUUUUGUUGGGAAAGAAAAGCAGCAGGUUAAUACCCCGCUGUUCUGACGGUACCCAAAGAAUAAGCACCGGCUAACUUCGUG